GCGACUGGCUACUUGGUAGCUGGGCUCGCUCGCUGCGCUCCCUGGCAGGCGGAAACAACCCGGUCCGUCCGUGUCCGCUCGUCGCGCACUCGCGCUUCUCCUCCAGAGCGAGAGCGUCUAAGGUGGGGUGGGGCGGCGCGUACGAGCGGUAGCCGCACGGCACGGCAGGGCAGUAGGCUAGGGUUUAGGCGUUGGGCGUGGCAGGCUUCGGUUUUAGAGUGCGAAGAGGAGGCGGAAGGAGGCUCGGCUGGGGGCACUAGGGAUUCUAGUUCUGUUAGGGGCCGGGCCGGUCGGGGGCGGCGGCGGGGGAGGAGCGGGCCGCUUCUACGUGGACACCGGCAGCGAGGCCUAGGCCCUGAGCAAGUUCGUGCGGAUGGACCUCUUCGACCUCAAGUUGGAGCGGUUGUUCUUCGCGCGCGUCCCCGUCCCCGUCCCCGCCGUCCCGGUCCUGCCCCUGCUUGUCGUCCGCGGCGACGAGCUCCCGGCGAGCAGCAGCUACCACCGGUGGCGCCAGCUCGAGCGGACGCUGCGGCGGUACGAUGAAAGCACGACGACAACGACGAAGACGACGCCGCGAACACCACCACUCCUCCUGCUAGGAGAUUGUCGAGCGACUACGGACUGCGACUCGCGGUGGAGGUCUUUGGUCUCUUGAGUUAUCUAGUCCCUUUCGUAUAUUACGUACGUCGACAUUGCCCAGCAUUAGUUUAAUUAACAUGUAUACCUCAAAGCUAGAAGACGACAACACCGGGCCUAAUUUUACGGUGACUGUUCAUCAGAAUAACCUAGUAAAGGAUAAAGCGUCAUCCUUUAAAGACGUCACGUCCGAGGUAUUAAAUAGACAUAUGAGGUAUCGGCAUACAUUAAGUCAAAGUCCCAUACACGUUGACGGUAAAGGGUAACGACACGACAGAGCACGAAGGGUGUAACUAGAAACUAGGUCUGAGGCC
rnacentral:rRNA from 1 species